UCUCAACUGAUGUCUUUGCUUCAUUUGA
rnacentral:piRNA from 1 species